CGUACACUCCUACGGGAGGCAGCAGUGGGGAAUAUUGGACAAUGGGCGCAAGCCUGAUCCAGCCAUGCCGCGUGAGUGAUGAAGGCCCUAGGGUUGUAAAGCUCUUUCACCGGAGAAGAUAAUGACGGUAUCCGGAGAAGAAGCCCCGGCUAACUUCGUGCCAGCAGCCGCGGUAAUACGAAGGGGGCUAGCGUUGUUCGGAAUUACUGGGCGUAAAGCGCACGUAGGCGGAUCGAUCAGUCAGGGGUGAAAUCCCAGGGCUCAACCCUGGAACUGCCUUUGAUACUGUCGAUCUGGAGUAUGGAAGAGGUGAGUGGAAUUCCGAGUGUAGAGGUGAAAUUCGUAGAUAUUCGGAGGAACACCAGUGGCGAAGGCGGCUCACUGGUCCAUUACUGACGCUGAGGUGCGAAAGCGUGGGGAGCAAACAGGAUUAGAAACCCCAGUAGUCCCAUGAU
rnacentral:rRNA from 1 species